GAUGAACGCUGGCGGCGUGCCUAAUACAUGCAAGUCGAGCGAACAGACGAGGAGCUUGCUCCUUUGACGUUAGCGGCGGACGGGUGAGUAACACGUGGAUAACCUACCUAUAAGACUGGGAUAACUUCGGGAAACCGGAGCUAAUACCGGAUAACAUGUUGAACCGCAUGGUUCAACAGUGAAAGACGGUCUUGCUGUCACUUAUAGAUGGAUCCGCGCCGCAUUAGCUAGUUGGUAAGGUAACGGCUUACCAAGGCAACGAUGCGUAGCCGACCUGAGAGGGUGAUCGGCCACACUGGAACUGAGACACGGUCCAGACUCCUACGGGAGGCAGCAGUAGGGAAUCUUCCGCAAUGGGCGAAAGCCUGACGGGGCAACGCCGCGUGAGUGAAGAAGGUCUUCGGAUCGUAAAACUCUGCUAUUAGGGAAGAACAAAUGUGUAAGUAACUAUGCACGUCUUGACGGUACCUAAUCAGAAAGCCACGGCUAACUACGUGCCAGCAGCCGCGGUAAUACGUAGGCGGCAAGCGUUAUCCGGAAUUAUUGGGCGUAAAGCGCGCGUAGGCGGUUUUUUAAGUCUGAUGUGAAAGCCCACGGCUCAACCGUGGAGGGUCAUUGGAAACUGGAAAACUUGAGUGCAGAAGAGGAAAGUGGAAUUCCAUGUGUAGCGGUGAAAUGCGCAGAGAUAUGGAGGAACACCAGUGGCGAAGGCGACUUUCUGGUCUGUAACUGACGCUGAUGUGCGAAAGCGUGGGGAUCAAACAGGAUUAGAUACCCUGGUAGUCCACGCCGUAAACGAUGAGUGCUAAGUGUUAGGGGGUUUCCGCCCCUUAGUGCUGCAGCUAACGCAUUAAGCACUCCGCCUGGGGAGUACGACCGCAAGGUUGAAACUCAAAGGAAUUGACGGGGACCCGCACAAGCGGUGGAGCAUGUGGUUUAAUUCGAAGCAACGCGAAGAACCUUACCAAAUCUUGACAUCCUCUGACCCCUCUAGAGAUAGAGUUUUCCCCUUCGGGGGACAGAGUGACAGGUGGUGCAUGGUUGUCGUCAGCUCGUGUCGUGAGAUGUUGGGUUAAGUCCCGCAACGAGCGCAACCCUUAAGCUUAGUUGCCAUCAUUAAGUUGGGCACUCUAAGUUGACUGCCGGUGACAAACCGGAGGAAGGUGGGGAUGACGUCAAAUCAUCAUGCCCCUUAUGAUUUGGGCUACACACGUGCUACAAUGGACAAUACAAAGGGUAGCGAAACCGCGAGGUCAAGCAAAUCCCAUAAAGUUGUUCUCAGUUCGGAUUGUAGUCUGCAACUCGACUACAUGAAGCUGGAAUCGCUAGUAAUCGUGGAUCAGCAUGCUACGGUGAAUACGUUCCCGGGUCU
rnacentral:rRNA from 1 species